CCUACGGGUGGCAGCAGUGGGGAAUAUUGGACAAUGGGGGAAAGUCUGAUGCAGCGAAGCCGCGUGAAGGAAGAAGGAUUUCGGUAUGGAAACUUCUAUCAGCAGGGAAGAAAAUGACGGUACCUGACUAAGAAGCCCCGGAUAACUACGUGCAAGCAGCCGCGGUAAUACGUAGGGGGCAAGGGUUAUCCGGAUUUACUGGGUGUAAAGGGAGCGUAGGCGGUUCAGCAAGUCAGAAGUGAAAGCCCGGGGCUCAACGCCGGGACUGCUUUUGAAACUGUUGAACUUGAUUGCAGGAGAGGUAAGUGGAAUUCCUAGUGUAGCGGUGAAAUGCGUAGAUAUUAGGAGGAACACCAGUGGCGAAGGCGGCUUACUGGACUGUAAAUGACGCUGAGGCUCGAAAGCGUGGGGAGCAAACAGGAUUAGAUACCCGUGUAGUC
rnacentral:rRNA from 1 species